UCUUUGACGAUCUUUAUGUUCGGACUUAGGAUGCUUAGACCGAUCUUCACACAACGGAUCACAUUGUACCGGCCGUCACUUUUCGGCCCGCGUCGCCCUUGCAACAGAGACCCGAAGUCUCCGUGGGUUCUCACCAGGCAAUGCAAAGAGGCAGAGAGAUGAGAGAAGCGGCACACACAACAACAAGAGCCCUCAAACGACCCAUGGACCACCACCUCCAACCCCAACCAUCAAGGUCGGCGGUUAAAGCCGUUCUGCGGGAGGUGGCGCGUUUCGGGAUGGCAGGAGGGAGGUGAGGCACGGGGCGUUCGUGUCGGCCAACCCUGCGGAGGCAAGAGGUAAGGGAGCUGCCAACUGCGAUCACCAGCCUGCCCGUUCCCACACCCCCACCGCGCGCUGUCACAACUUUCGUGCUCAGACGCGCGCGUGUGUCUGUGCGCCCAGUGUUGAGGUUGCCACCUGUGAGGUACAAAAACUAAAACAAUUAUAACAAGAACCCGGAGGUAUUGUGGGAAGAAAGUGCGAGUCGAAGCAAUCUCUUUCGCAAAUGAGAAUUGAGGUGGCAGUUCAACUCCCGUUGAGAGCACUGAGCCAGUGGUGGAAAUUCCACACUUCUGUGAUGUCGGGGUCGGGGGGCUGUCUAUUGGAGAACCACUGUUG